rnacentral:rRNA from 1 species
UAACCUGCCCAAGAGAUCGGGAUAACACCUGGAAACAGAUGCUAAUACCGGAUAACAACAGAUGAUGCCUAUCAACUGUUUAAAAGAUGGUUCUGCUAUCACUCUUGGAUGGACCUGCGGUGCAUUAGCUAGUUGGUAGGGUAACGGCCUACCAGGGCGAUGAUGCAUAGCCGAGUUGAGAGACUGAUCGGCCACAUUGGGACUGAGACACGGCCCAAACUCCUACGGGAGGCAGCAGCA